rfam:Camelus ferus unplaced genomic scaffold scaffold595, whole genome shotgun sequence.
CCAAAGGCUCUUUUCAGAGCCCCCCACUACUUCGAAAGAAGAGCUC